AAGAAAGGAGUAGGAGAUGGCACAGUUAGCUGGGGUCUAGAAGAUGACGAAGACAUGACACUUAUAAGAUGGACAGGGAAGAUAAUUGGGCCUCCAAGGACAAUUUAUGAAAACCAGGUACACAGCCUGAGAAUAGAAUGUGAACCUAAAUACCCGGAAACACCCCCCUUUGUAAGAUUUGUAACAAAAAUUAAAAUGGAGUUAAUAGUUCUAAUGGAGUGGUGGACACAAGAGCCACAUCAGUGCUAGCAAAAUGGCAGAAUUCAUAUAGCACCAAAGUUGUCCUGCAAGAGCUUUGGUGCCUAAUUAUGUCUAAAGAAAAUAUGAAACUCCCUCAGUCACCUGAAGGACAGUGUUACAGCAAUUAA
rnacentral:lncRNA from 1 species